CGCCUGUGUGGAGAAGGAUGUCCCCAUAAGGCAUCUGGAUACCAUCUGUUCUGGAGUGUGUGUCUGAGAUGCAGACAAACCGCGUGUGGCCCGCUGGUUUUGGAGUGUCAUAUGGGAUGGGGUCGACCAUAUGUACAUGUGGAGGCUGGAAUCUGCUCUGGUUGAUGUUGUAGUGCGUGAAUGCCUGGGUGGGGUUUGAGCUGUACUCAUCCACCG
rnacentral:lncRNA from 1 species